CAACCCCCCAGCCCAUAUGGAAAUAGGCUGGCUGUAGCCCCCAGCAUGGGGGUGGGGGGGAUUUAUGGACAUAACUUGAGUGUAAUAAAAAAGUACAUACAAUUGGAACUUUAACAACAAGUGAACCAUGUACCAUCUUGGGGACCAUCCCUGAGAUGUGCUGCUGCCAUCCUUACUUCAAACACCUGAGUUAGGCACAAGUUAGCAUGGGAAAGUGGUUUUAGUUUGCUUUUAGUUCAAAGUCCAGCUACAACACCAUGAAAUGUUAUGAUGCAAAUGAUGAUUUGAUUCUGUGUCUGCAGUAAUUUCAGGUACAGGCCAAAUUAGAACAACAUUCAGAAGACUUUGUACAUAAUGAGGAUAUGAUCAAGACCAUCUACACUGAAAUGAAAGGAAUCUCGGAAUCUUGGAAACAUGAGAAAACUGGAUUUUUCCAGUGUCUCAUGUACUACAGUUUCCAGUUGUCUCAGUUUUGACAUGUUUCCUUAUAUUAAAACAGUGGAUGCUCUUCAUUGGAGAAAAUUGAAAGAAUUAUGGAUCUGCAACCAGAAGCUGAGAAUCUCCAGCAAAACAAUGAAAAACAGACACUGA
rnacentral:lncRNA from 1 species